UUACAAAUAUCAUUUUCUAUUUCAAUUUAUUAAGGGAAUAAUAAUAAAACUAUUAAUACUAAAAGUAAAUAUGGCCCUAAGAAAUUAUUUAAUCCAGGCUCUUAGUGCUAAAGCUAAUUUCUUUUAUUUUCACAGUUGAAAUUAUAAUGGCCCAGGAAAUUGGAGAGACAUGAUUAAGAUUACAUCAUUAAUGAGUUUGGAGGUACCAGGGAUCAAUUGGGUGAACAUGUAGGACCAUCCUGUCCCAUUUACAAUAAUUAAAUUGUAGCCGUGUUUCAAUGUUUAUUAUUAUUAUUAGUACUUCAGCUCUUAGAAAUCCUGUUUUAAUUUUAAAUGUUAUGAUCCUCAUUCUAUCACAGACCCCUUUACAGUUUUCUCCCCUCCUCUUCCAUCUGUGCAGUGGGAAGCCUCUAAUAUAACACUGAGCUGGAAAAUCAGAAGUAGGAAGAAAGAAAAAGAUGUCUUCUCUCUUAUCCUGCACACUCACGUUCUACUUCAAAGUGAAAAGGGAAUGCAGAGCACAAGGUUCCAUCUUGAAAAAAGAGAAUGGCCUCACCAGACACCACACCUGUGGUACCUUGACCUCGGAUUUCCCAGUCCCCAGAACUGUGAGCUAAUGCAUUUCUGUUAUUUACAAAUUGCUCUCACAAGUAUUCUGCUAUAGCAGCAUAAAUUAGACUAAACCAGAGUGAAUCAAGAAACUUAAAAUAACUUAUUUAUCCUGCUACUGUCUUGCCUUAAUUCAUAGGCAGACCUAGAAUAUGAAUCACACAAAACAUUGUUUAACUGUCACCACGGUAUUAAUUACUCUUUGGUACAGAAAAAAUAAUUUUUUUUUUUUUGCCAAAAAAAAGUCUAUAAAGUAUUAUUAUUUUUUUCUUCUUUUUAAUGCUAGUAUUCCCUGUUUUAUUUUAUUUUAUUUAUUUAUUUAUUUAUUUUUGAGGCGGAGUCUCACUCCGUUGCCCAGACUGGAGUGCAGUGGUGCGAAUAUUCCUUGUUAUUAAUCUAAAUUUGGAUUUCAAAGCCAUUCUUAAUACUUUCCCACCUCAUCUAAAAAUCAUCUCUCCACUUGUAUAAUAUGUACUCUCCACUCCAAUGAGGCCAAUUUCUAGUCACCCCCCUUUCCACCCCACUACACUAUAGUGAAUAUCUGGCUUUUUUUUUUUUUUUUGGUCUCUCCAACAUCCCCUCCAUUGGGGAACUUUAUUUUUCUACCCAUUUGGGCUACCAAUUACAUGGUGCUGGUUUCCCAAAACUGGUCUAGGUACUUAACAAACUAGUUAUUCAGUAAGUCCUAUCUACUUGAUCACACUGAUUUGUUCAAGGAUGGUAAACUGAUUUAAAUUGAGUACAUCAUUCAUCUCCCAAAAUUCUUUAAUAAAAUAAAAUCAUAUUCUGCCAUAAAAAACAUAUUCUGUUUUUCUGUUUUCUGUUUUUUUGUGAGAUUCUUAACUAAAAGUAUAAAAAAAAGUUAAGAUACU
rnacentral:lncRNA from 10 species